GUGGGUAUCUUGUACCCCUAAUUCUACUAUCGGACACUUGUCCAUUUUUACCUCUCGUCUCACUUUUUCUUUUCUUUCGAGGUUCCGAGCACUUGCCCCUUUUUAUUUCCUCGUAUACUUUCUCUCUUUCUUCUCUUUUUUUAGAGCACUCAUCUCUUGAAAUAAUAUAGCAAGUGGUAGUAACAAGAUAACUUGAGCAUUUAUUUCAUAGGGUAAAAACAGAAAUAUUUUUGGCUAUUCUCUCCCGGAUCAGGAGUAGAAUAUUUUUAGGUGAUUCUGGAGAUGGAAAUGGGUGGAUAUAUGUGGAUGGU
rnacentral:lncRNA from 1 species